rnacentral:rRNA from 1 species
AUUGAACGCUGGCGGCAGGCUUAACACAUGCAAGUCGAGCGAGCGGCGGACGGGUGAGUAAUGUCUGGGAAACUGCCUGAUGGAGGGGGAUAACUACGGGAAACGGUAGAUAAUACCGCAUACCAUCAGAUGUGCCCAGAUUGGAUUAGCUAGUAGGGGGGGUAAUGGAUCACCUAGGCGACGAUCCCUAGCUGGUCUGAGAGGAUGACCAGCCACACUGGAACUGAGACACGGACCAGACUCCUACGGGAGGCAGCAGUGGGGAAUAUUGGACAAUGGGCGCAAGCCUGAUGCAGCCAUGCCGCGUGUGUGAAGAAGGCCUUCGGGUUGUAAAGCACUUUCGGCGAGGAGGCGUUACUCGCCGAAGAAGCACCGGCUAACUCCGUGCCAGCAGCCGCGGUAAUUC